GCGGACGGGUUAUAUGCUGAAUUGCAGUCGAGGGGAUACAGUUGGAACGAUGUAUACGAUACGCCUACGGGGGAAGAGGGACUCGGCUGCGCGAUUGGUUUGCCAGGUGGAUAGCUAUUGUGAGGUAUGUCACAGGGAAGAUCCCUACUGGUCUGAGAGGAUUAUCAGCCACCUGGACUGAAAAACGGUCCAACUCUACGGGAGGCAGCAGUGGGGAUAUUGCACAAUGGGGGAAACCCUGAUUCACCAUGCCGGUGUGUUAAGAAGGCCUUCGGGUUGUAAAGCACUUUCAGCGAGGAGGAAAGGUCAGUAGCUAAUAUCUGCUGGUGUGACGUUCUCGCAGAAAAAGCACCGGGUUAAUUCCGUGCCAGCAGCCGCGGUAAUACGGAGGGUGCAAGCGUUAAUCGGAAUUACUGGGCGUAAAGCGCACGCAGCGGUUGGAUAAGUUAGAUGUGAAAGGCCCGGGGCUCAAACCUGGGGAAUUGCAUUUUAAACUGUCCAGCUAGAGUCUUGUAAGGGGGGUAGAAUUCCAGNUGUUAGCGGUAAAGUGCGUAGAGAUCUGGAGGAAUACCGGUUGCGAAANGCGGCCCCUUGGUACAA
rnacentral:rRNA from 1 species